UUUUAGUAUGCCUCUUCAGAUACUUAACAGAAUUUAGUGUAUAUAGUUUUAUGUUUAUUAUUUAAAAAUAAAUCCUUUUCUUUCUCUUAUAAUUUUUAAUAUAUACACUUCUCUUGAUGACAUAUGUAUUUUGGUAUAAUAAAAAGUUAAGUAUGCUUUAUGAUAAUUAUCUGCAAACAUGUAAACCGUACCUUAAAGAAUUUGAUGGGUCAAGUUCAAGGCAAAAUCCAAAAGUCACCAUUAAAUGAUUUCUACUCCUUAUAUUAGACAUGAUUCUCUCCCUCAAGAAUCACUCGGACUCAGUGUUUCUCAAUUUCAAUCUGUAGCUUGUGAUCUCCAACAUUUCAUAAUUCGUGCCAUCUUCCCUGGUUUUCUUUUUUCACACUUCUAGUGAUUUCAUUUUAUUUUUUCUUUGGAUCUGAUUGUUUGUUCCCGAUUUUGUUAACAUUUGUUGCUGCUAUUUAUUUAAUCAUUAUAAAAUAAUCUUUUUUUAUAUUGGAUAAAAUAUUGGAUUUUUUCUACAAUAUUGAUAAGGAUAUUUGAAGGAUUAAACAGCUGAAUGGCGAUGCAUACAGAUACAAGUGAUUUCAACAGUAGAUAUCCUCGAUCCCUUGCUAUGAGAAGACCAUGACAAAUUCAAAACUCACCACAAGUCGAUUGUACUUGUCCAUUAAGUUUGCUGCAUAUCUGAAACCAUCUGGGCAUGGUUCUAUGUGGAAGAUAACUGGUCCACCUUUCAGUGUAG